UAAUUCUCACAGUGGAGGGUAUGAACAGCCCCUCAUCAUCCCGGGUAGAGGAUGAACCACUCAUCAUCCCGGUUAGAGGCACAAUAACAUUCGAGAAUGGGACAUGGAAUGAGGCGACGGCCCAAGCAAGCCCCAGCAGCCCCAGCCCCAGCCCCAGGCCCAGCAGCAGCAGCAGCAGCAGCAGCAGCCCCCGCUGUCCCGCCGCCUGGAGAGGCUCUGCAGCCAUGAAGCCAACCGUCCCGAGGCACCGCCGGUAAGCAGGGAGCCUCCGCGGAGCUCCCGCCGCCGCUCCCCCUUGGUGCGUCCUGGUCCUGCCGCAGCGAGAGGCAUGGAGAAGGCCGCCCCCGCGGGGCGCUGAUCCCUGCGCCGCGCCCGCGUGCACACGCCACCCCCUGCUGCCGCCGCCUCCGCCUCCGCGCGCCCCCAGUACCUCGCUCCCCGCCCAGGCCCCACCAUGACCGGCUCUGCGGCCGACACUCACCGCUGCCCCCACCCCAAAGGCGCCAAAGGCACCCGGUCCCGGAGCAGCCACGCGCGGCCCGUGAGCCUCGCCACCAGCGGGGGCUCGGAGGAGGAGGACAAAGACGGCGGGGUGCUGUUCCACGUUAACAAGAGCGGCUUCCCCAUCGACAGCCACACCUGGGAGCGCAUGUGGAUGCACGUGGCCAAGGUGCACCCUAAGGGGGGAGAAAUGGUGGGCGCCAUCAGGAACGCCGCCUUCUUGGCAAAGCCUUCAAUACCCCAGGUCCCAAACUACAGGCUGUCGAUGACGAUCCCAGACUGGCUCCAGUCGAUCCAGAAUUACAUGAAGACCCUACAAUAUAAUCACACAGGGACCCAGUUCUUUGAAAUUAGGAAAAUGAGACCGCUGAGCGGGUUAAUGGAAACAGCAAAAGAAAUGACUCGAGAGUCCUUGCCUAUCAAAUGCCUUGAAGCUGUCAUCCUGGGCAUCUACUUAACCAAUGGACAGCCUUCCAUCGAGCGGUUCCCCAUCAGCUUUAAAACCUACUUCUCAGGAAACUACUUUCACCACGUUGUGCUGGGGAUUUACUGCAAUGGCCACUAUGGCUCACUGGGCAUGAGCCGUAGGGCUGAGCUGAUGGAUAAGCCACUGACUUUUCGGACUCUGAGUGACCUCAUCUUUGACUUUGAGGACUCCUACAAGAAAUACCUGCACACAGUCAAGAAGGUCAAGAUUGGGCUGUACGUCCCCCAUGAGCCUCAUAGCUUCCAGCCCAUUGAGUGGAAGCAGCUGGUCCUCAACGUCUCAAAGAUGCUGAGGGCUGACAUAAGGAAGGAGCUGGAGAAAUACGCCAGGGACAUGAGAAUGAAGAUCCUGAAACCUGCAAGUGCUCACUCUCCGACCCAAGUGAGAAGCCGGGGAAAAUCCCUGUCCCCCAGAAGGAGACAGGCAAGUCCCCCGAGGAGACUCGGCCGGCGAGACAAGUCAAUUGGAAGAGACCAGAGUGUCUUUGGACACACAGAGAAAAUAACCAGGAGAAAGAAAUGAAUGUUCAAGAACAAAGGGAUUAAUAGAGGAAGAUAUAUGAGCAGCUGGGGUCACAUGCCAAGGCAAGUGACCACCCCUGCGCCUGCAGAGGACAGCUGUUAGACUGCGUCAGUUAUUCCAGCUCCCGCCAUUCUGCCACACUAGAACUCAGGACAGCCGCGUUCCUGGAGGUAUGUUUGGAGAGAAGCAGCUCCUCAGCUUCCACCCAUGGCCUUGACCAAGCAGGCUUUUCUCCAGGUGAGGCUGGGACUGUCCGUGCAUGUGGAUAUCCUUCCUCCUGCAAAGUGAGUCAAAGUAAAGUUUUCUACUCUUUUUCCCCUAAAACAAAAUGUUGCCUGAGAACCUUAAAAAAAGAAAAUUCUUUCAUUUCUUUGCCUUGUUUGGAGGAGGAUGGCAGGGAGGUGGGGUUGGAGAAAUAUAUUAGUCUAAAAUAAUAACCCUGGAUCUGAUGAGAGGUUCUGGGCAAGUGCAGACCAGGGUGAAUCACCAUCCUAGUGCUCGUGUUUCUUAAAAAUAAACCCCCUUGCAAUAUUCUAAUUAUAGCUGGGGGAGCACUUGGAAGAGGCCUCUCUACACAUAAUAGCUCACCCAGCUCUGGCCCUGAGAUGAGCUGGCAAGGACUGAACGACAUUUCUGGCUGGGCCUUACAGGCAGGUGGCAUGCUGUGAUAACCUACUUCUGCCCUAUGCCAGCCAAGGAAAUUGCAGCCACGGUUGCAGUAAAAGAAAAGGAUUUCGUCUUCUGGGCAGGUCACCAGGAACCUCAGUUUAGCUCAUUUUCUGCCAGUAUUAGUCCUUUUCUUCUCCUGGGUUCUGGGUACUUAGUGGAAGGUGGCAGGUGUGGGGAUACAGAAGAAGAUGACCUAGUCCCUUUCCUUUGGAGGCACUCAAGCUGUUGAUGCAUUCAGCUUAAUGAGUAGGCAGGUUCCCCACAUGGCUUUCAGGGGUAAAGCAAACUCACUCCAAUAUAGAAAAUAAAUGUUCUUCCUGCUUGUUAAUUCUGAAAAUGUUGUCAUGGUAACUUGAAUUCCUGGCUUAGGACUUUGUCUCUAAAAUAAAAUAUCCCAUGAUAAAGAUAACAGAUGAUUCCCUAUCAUCCAUUUACAUGUUAGUGAGAAUUUGAUUGAUAGGUACAUAUUCCACAGUGGGAUUCAUAGAUGAAUUUCCUUGGUCCCUGCUUUCAAAUUGUCCACAGUCUCUGAGGCAGGCCUAAGGAUUAUGAAUUGGCAGGAUUAUUGAACAGAUGUUGUCUUAGUCCUUUUUGUGUUGCUGUAACAAUACCUGAGACUGAAUCCUUUAUAAUGAACAGGAAAUGUAUUGGCCCAUGGUUCUGGAUGCUGAGAAACCCAAGAUCAAGUGGCUGACAUCUGAUGAAUCCUAAGAUUCACCUUGAUUUUAUACAUUCAAGCCUGAACAUUAACCCUCUUCCUGGGAACGUGAGUCACCUUUGAUUCCUGGGCUUCCUCCAGGAUAUGAACACUAGGAAGCCAAUGUUUCAAGGAGAAUUUGACUCAGAUUGUUGGCUCUACUUUAGAGCCUGCACUGCCUGAAAAGAAGGUGGCUGAUCUGAGCACUCUGAAUGAAGUGGGCUAUCAAAUCCGAAUUUAGCCAAGCCAUACUGGCCAGCAAGAGGGUUUCUGUGGUGCUUCUCUCUGCACUUUACCCAACAUCUUCAGGAGGAACUGCAACUAUUUAUUAAGAACCUGUGAAUUUUAUUUUUAAGAAUUCACCUGGAAAUAGAAUCUGAGUGGGUGGUAACCAUUAGCUUUAAAAACUUCACUAGAAGUCACCAUGAAAAGGCUGAAGUAAUAAACCCCACUGGGGUUGGACUAUGUCCCUCACUCAAGAUCUUAAGGAUAACAACCAUAACUGUAGUUUUAUAUUUUUCCAUUUACCUACUUUCUUUUACCUGCUUUGAACAUUAUGCCUCACCAAUAGUAAAUGUUCAUGAAAUAAUCUCUUAAACUUUUGGUAUAGUAAGGUAACUCUAACAGUAUUACUGUCUUUUUCAGCAAUAACAGAAAGCAAAAAUGGGUGGGUUUUUUUUAAGCAGUUAUUACCUCAGCAUUUUGACAUCAGAUAUGCAAACUUAAUGGCGUUUUGUUUUUUUAUAUUCUAUUUGUAUUCUUUCCCCAGUAUUUCCCAUGGGGAUCUCCACAAGUUUGGAGUUUUUUUCCUGGUGCACACACGUGAGGAGAUUUAAGGUAUUAUAUGCAAGUGUUUUACUAAAAAGCACUGAAAUUCUUCUGGCAAUACAAGAACCAUUUUCAGGAUCUUGGAGUUCCUUCCUUCUUAAUCUUUCUUAAAGCAUUCACUGAUGUUUUUGUUUUUUCAAAAUGAAACAAAAAUAUCACAUUGAGAAGCUAGUCUAUGUUCUGUCACUAACAUUUAAACUUUGCAGACUCUAGCAAAAAGCACAAGAGGUCAUGUACUAUUAUACAAAUGUAGCAGUACUGGAUUACCUCCUACACUAACACACUCAGGCAGAGACCAGGAGUGAUCAGCAGGUCUUCAGAACCAAAAAACCUUUCUGUUCACAUUUCAUCUGAUUUUUAAACUGAGGCAGGCUUUGAUUCUUCUGAAGGACGCAAAGAAUCAAACUAAGGGAGGACUCACUGUUAAAGAUGUGUUCUGAUGUCUUAUAUUAAGACCAAAUGUGACAUGAUGUGAUUAUCUUCCAGUACUUUGCUUUUAGGUACCAUUUCAUGACAUUUUAGGAAUGAGUAUUGGAAAAUAUAAAGAAUUAGAAAAGCAGGAUUUUUUUUUUUUUUUAAUGGAAAAGUCUUCGGUCCAGUGUUAACCUUAUAGUGUGAUUCAGUCCCUAAGCACAGAAUGAAUGUCUGGCCUGCAUAUGGUAGUUACAGUGUAACCUCUGGCUGCAGACCACACAGGACAACCCUAACAGCCUAGUCUUGUAUGGUAUAAAUAUCAAGAGUACAGCUUCAAUUUCAUUUGCUUUAUAUUAGCAACAAUGCCAACUCAGGAGACCAGACGGCCGAUUUCAGUGAAGUCUGGUAGUCAACACAUGUUAUUUCAGUCUCAGUGCAUCUCCUCUGGCUUUCUUUGACUGAAGGUGUUUAUAGGAAGGAAGUUUAAAAAAAAUCCUCAUUGAGAUUCUUUACCAAUUCUUUACAAGAUUUCUGGGGGUGACAGGGAAAGCAAAAGGACUUCAUCCUUUAGCUACGUGCACAAGAGCUUACUUCACCCUAAAAAUCAGUAUUAUUAAUGAAAAGUACUGUUUUCUUAAAAAAAAGAAGUCUAAUGUCCUUUAGAUGAACAAGAGCAAGUAUACAUCUCCAUUAGAUUAAAAUGUAGCACAGGGUUAAAAAUUCUCAGUUUAAUCUCUUUAAGAACAGUAUUAUCAGAGUUUAAAAUGAGUUCUCUCUGUUUAUCUUCACACAGCAAACCCAUUCGCAGCCUCCCGGCCACAUGUAUUCACAUGUUUGAAAUAGUGAAUCAUUUCAUUUUCAUUCUAAAACAAUACGGACUUAGCCAUAUACCUUCUGUUUGUCAAUCUGAAACUUGCUUACAUCUAAUAAGUAGACCUCUUAUAACACUGCAACCAUUCUAAGAGUUGGAAUUUAUUUUUGCCAAGUCUUAAGUACUGCUAAAUCUAAAAUACAGAAUAUCAAAUGGUUGCAUAGCUUGUUUCCCACAACAAGGAGGAAAAGAACAGGAAUACAAACUCUGUAAUAUGCUGAUAUAGAAGCCUUAGAACUGCUAACUGGCUUGAUGGUUCAAUUAGUAAGCUAAUUUCUCCCACACCUGCUCCUUGAUUUUUAGACUAAUUUUCCCAAAGCAAGGUUUAGUCACACAAACUUGAAAGUACAUUUAAAAUGUUCUUAGUUGUCAUCCUACUUUUAUUGCCUAUGGAAUAUACUAAUUUCUAAAAAAAAAAAAAAAUGGGAAAGGCACCAAACCCCUAAAUUCUAGUGCAAUAAUUUAAUUAAAAAAAAAAAAAAACCAACAUGUUAUAUGCACCCCCCUCCCAAAGCUGAUUUUAAGACUGGCUAGAAUUCAAAAUAUAAAAAAUAAAACUAUGAAGUGAUUUGAAAUCGGUUUUAAAAGUUCUUAGUGCAAGAGAAAUUUUAUGUUUAAGCCAUCAUGGCAAUAUAUGCAAAGUUUAAAUGAAUGACAGAAAUCUUGAUUUUAGACUGUAUGUUGUGCUGUUUUGAGUACACUUUAUUUCGGAAAGUGAUAUUUAGUAUUUUCUAUACACUCUGAAAUCAUGAGCAUUUCACUUUUUCUAAGUCAAUUAUUUCAUAAGGAUUUUAUUAAUAGAUAUUGGUAAAUAGAACUUUGGAAAUCUUAAUUCAGAAUUCUUACUAUACCUGAGGCUUUUGUAAGCUAUAGUUUUAUGUACAACCUUGUACAGUUUUUUUGACAUACAAUUCAGAACUUUGUUUAUUCUCUUAGACUUUGUUCUGGCCAAUACAUUUUUUUUUAAAUCUUUAAGAAGAACUGUGAUUGUUUUAGUGGGUAUUUUUCUAAGUAAAUGAAAACUUGUAUAAUGGUAUUUUAGAGAAUGCCAGAUAAGUGCAUGUUUCGAGUUAAUGUUUUUCUCAUCACUUGUAUGUUUCUAACACAGCAUGAGACUUUAAUAAAACCAUCCUGGAAACUUAA